GACGAACGCUGGCGGCGUGCUUAACACAUGCAGGUCGAACGGAAAGGCCCUGCUUUUGUGGGGUGCUCGAGUGGCGAACGGGUGAGUAACACGUGAGUAACCUGCCCUUGACUUUGGGAUAACUUCAGGAAACUGGGGCUAAUACCGGAUAGGAGCUCCUGCUGCAUGGUGGGGGUUGGAAAGUUUCGGCGGUUGGGGAUGGACUCGCGGCUUAUCAGCUUGUUGGUGGGGUAGUGGCUUACCAAGGCUUUGACGGGUAGCCGGCCUGAGAGGGUGACCGGCCACGUUGGGACUGAGAUACGGCACAGACUCCUACGGGAGGCAGCAGUGGGGAAUAUUGCACAAUGGGCGGAAGCCUGAUGCAGCAACGCCGCGUGCGGGAUGACGGCCUUCGGGUUGUAAACCGCUUUCGCCUGUGACGAAGCGUGAGUGGCGGUAAUGGGUAAAGAAGCACCGGCUAACUACGUG
rnacentral:rRNA from 1 species